AAAACAACUACGGAGGGUGCAAGCGUUGUUCGGAAUUACUGGGCGUAAAGCGUGCGCAGGCGGAUUGUUAGCAAGAUGUGAAAUCCCCGGGCUUAACCUGGGAAUGGCAUUUUGAACUGGCAGUCUAGAGUGCGUCAGAGGGGGGUGGAAUUCCACGUGUAGCAGUGAAAUGCGUAGAGAUGUGGAGGAACACCAAUGGCGAAGGCAGCCCCCUGGGAUGACACUGACGCUCAUGUACGGAAGCGUGGGUAGCAAACAGG
rnacentral:rRNA from 1 species